AUCAGUACCAUGGUAGAGAGGAAAUAAUAACAGAAUCUGCAUUUUGGUUGCAAAAUCCUUCUGUAACAUUUAAAUUUCUUAUUAUUAUGCAUUAGAUUUUAAAUCUUUUAUUCCUUAAUUUUACUACUCUAAUUACACUUGUAGCAUACCCCUAAAAAAACUCUUUUAAAUAUCUUCCAUUUAAGUUUACUUUUCAUUGCAUAAUUUUCUCAAAAUUUUUAAAAUGUAUUGAUUUAAAUGUUAUAAAUAAAGUUAAUGAACAAAAAAUAAAAUAAAAUUGGGCUGGGGAUUUGGCUCACUGGUUCUGCCGCCUGCCUCACAAGUGUCAGGUCCCGAGUUCGAUCUCCAGUACCAAAAAACAAACAAAACAAAACAAAAAAUAAAAUAAAAUAAAGUAAAAUUUAAAAAGUUGGGGGUGUAGGAUGUAGCUCAGUGGGAAGGCCUUGGGUUCAAUUCCCAGUACAGAAAAAAGUUACUUUGACACAACUCCAAUGACUCCUUUAAUAUAAAUCUAAGGACUUCUCCUUCUGUAAUCUGUCUUUAUUAUAUAUUUUAAAAAUUCCUAUUGUCAGAAUGAUUAUACAAGAGUUGUUAUAUUACACAGACUACACAGCAGAGUUUGCAAAGUGUCUUUGGCGACCAUGGGAGCCCUGUGACCCCACCAAGAUGCAAAAAAUUAUUUUUAUAGCAAUGCAGUGAUGGUAAAGAAGUGCUGUUGGGGAAAUCUGUCAUCCUCUAGCGAGACUCAGCACAGGAAGACAGGACGGUACUGGUGGACACUGUGUUCCUCACUCACUGUCACAGCUGACAAGCAAGCAGACAAACAAAGCAUAACAAACAUCAAACCCAGGAACUUGUCACGUGGAUGAAAUGAUAUAAAGGAAGAGCUCAAUGAAAGUUAGAGCCGCAGCAACAGGUUCCAGGGCUGGCACGGCAGCCACAGGGCCCCACAGGUACUGUCACCAGGUUAAGAAAUUAAAAUACUGCAAAAGAUUUUAGAAGUCGACAUUAAUGCUUUAACAGAAGAGCAUUA
rnacentral:lncRNA from 1 species